rnacentral:rRNA from 1 species
CCCUUAGAUGUUCUGGGCCGCACGCGCGCUACACUGACGCAUUCAACGAGUCUCCUUGGCCGAGAGGCCUGGGUAAUCUUGUGAACGUGCGUCGUGAUAGGGAUAGAUUAUUGCAAUUAUUAAUCUUGAACGAGGAAUUCCUAGUAAACGCAGAUCAUCAAUCUGCAUUGAUUACGUCCCUGCCCUUUGUACACACCGCCCGUCGCACCUACCGAUUGGAUGGUCCGGUGAGGCCUCGGGAUUGUGGCCGGUGCAUUCAUUUGUGUCGGUUGCGAGAACUUGUCCAAACCUUAUCAUCUAGAGGAAGGUGAAGUCGUANCA